GUUGGUUUUUAGUUGAUUAACCAAAGUCUAAAUAUUUGGUAAAAGCAAAUCUAUAACAGAUCCCUAAUAGAAUGUAGCAAUAAAUUAUACAAGGCUUAAACAAAUGUUUUUUUUCCCCUGAAUAUUUUCUAUUUAGCCUAGUAUCCAGUAGAACAAGUUGAAUGGGGACUGAUUUUUUUAAGUACUUUUUGCAUGUUUCCCUUAAACAUGGUGACAAAAAAAAU
rnacentral:lncRNA from 1 species